AAUAUUUUAUAAGGUUCUUCCUAAAGGUUUCCUUCUUAACAGAACUUAAUUAUUGUAUAUAUGUACCCAAUAUUGUAUUCUCGGCUUUAUAAAUUGGAAAAUAUAUAAGCAUUUUGAAAACACUCCGGUUUCGUAGAAGACAAAUUAAAGAGUGAAACAUGUCGACUCUGGUUCAGAUACAAGAGACCCCUAGAUGGAAGAAGCUUUUGGGUCAUGUAGGACCUGGUAUUCUCGUUUCUGUAGGCUAUCUUGAUCCCGGAAACUUGGAAUCAGACCUACAAGCUGGUGCAGAUCACAAAUACGAGUUGCUAUGGAUCGUGCUUCUCGGGCUGACCUUUGCUUGCA